CACUUUGGGGAGAUCCCAAAUUCUCUUCUGCCCCCUCCCUUUGGGGAGUUGGAGGACGUGCACUAUGCAGGAGGUCACAAUCCUAUAACAUACAAGUGACAGAUUGUAUAAGUCAAGUUUUAGGACUUCAUAUUCUGGGUUGGUUGGGCCGGCUUGCUUUCCCUCCUCCUCGAUGUUUAUUAGUUCUUCCACCUCGGCCUCUCUCUUGUGGUGUUUUCCCUAAUUUUGAUUCCAUAUUUGUUCCUCGAGAUAAAGAUGUGUCUAAUUGUGAAGGCUCUGCUGACCUGCAUCAUAGUCCUUCAAUUGUUGAAUUUGAUGAGACGUCAUCACAAAUAUCUUGUCGUGACGCUCAGUCUUCGAGUGAAUUGUCAAUCCCCAAGAGUCCUCCUGCUUUGCUAAAAGGUAGCGUAACAACUUUAAACGUGGAUGUGCUUGAGCAGACAGUGUUGCAUGUUCAAAAUCAGCUUCUUACCCGUCUUGAAUCAAUGA